GGGCGCGGUGGCUCACACCUGUAAUCCCAGCACUUUGGGAGGCUGAGGCGGGUGGAUCACAAGGUCAAGAGAUCGAGACCAUCCUGGUCAACAUGGUGAAACCCCGUCUCUACUAAAAAUACAAAAAAAAUUAGCUGGGCAUGGUGGCAUGUACCUGUAGUCCCAGCUACUCAGGAGGCUGAGGGAGGAGAAUUGCCUGAACCCAGGAGGCAGAGGCUGUGGUGAGCUGAGAUCGCACCAUUGCACUCCAGCCUGGGUAACAAGAGCGAAACUCCGUCUCAAAAAAAUAAAAUAAAUAAAUAAAUACAUAAAAAGAAAUCAUGAUGAGAUACCAUUUCACACCCAGUAGAAUGGCUAAAAUAAUAAACGUUGACAGCCAUAAGUGGUGACAAAGAUGUACAGCAAUUGGAACUCUCAUAAAUUGCAAGUGGGAGUGUAAAAUGGUAUAACCAGUUGGAGAAUUGUUUGGUUAUUUCUUAUUAAGUUAAACUUGGAUCUACCAUAUCACCCCACAAUUCUACUCUUUGGUAAGCAAGAAAAAUGAAAAUAUAUGUCUCCAAAAAGACUUAUACACAAAUAUUUAUAGCAGUCUUUUUGUAUAUAGUCCAAAACUGGAGAAAGCCCAAAUAUCCUUCCACAGGAGGAUGGAAUAACACAUUAUGACACAUUCAAACAAUGGAACACUGCUUAACACCAACAACAGGACAAACUAUUGAUACACUCAACAACAUGGGUAGAUCUCAGAAUGAUAAGCAAAAGGAAAACAAUAUGGGCUGUAUGAUUCCAUUUAUAUGAACUUCAAAAACAGAAAAAACUAAUUUUUGUUGUGUAAACUCAGGAAGUGACUUUGGGGAGAUGAUUUGUCAGGAAAGGAAUCGAUCAGAGACCAGGCACAGUGGCAUGUGCAUGUAGUCCCAGCCACUCAGGAGACUGAGGUGGGAGGAUCACCUGUGCCCAGGAGUUGGAAGCCAGUCUAGGCAACAUAAUGAGACCCCAUUCUCAGUAUUAUUCUGCCUGCAUGAGUCUUUUAAAAAAAAAAACCAGCCAGGCGUGGUGGCUCACACCUGUAAUCCAAGCACUUUGGAGGCCAAGGCGGGGGCAGAUCACCUGAGGUCGGGAGUUCAAGACCAGCCUGACCAACAUGGUGAAACCUUGUCUUUAUAUAUAUAUUUUUUAAAAAGCCAUUAAAGAAAUGUUCUGGGGUAAGGAAAAUGUUCUGUAUAUUGUUUUGUUUGGAGGUUAUACAAGUUCAUACAAUUGUCAAAACUCAUGGAACCUUGGCUGGGGGAGUGGUGGAUUAUUCCUAUAAUCUCAGCACUUUGGGAGGCUAAGGUGGACAGAUCACCUGAAGACAGAAGUUUGAGACCAGCCUGGCCAACAUGAUCUCUACUAAAACUACAAAAAUCAGCCAGGCAUGGUGGCAGGUGGCACCUGUAGUCCCAUCUACUUAGAAGGUUGAGGCACGACAAUUGCUUGAACAUGGGAGGCAGAGGUUGUGGGGAGCUGAGAUCGCACCACUGCACUCCAGCCUGUAUGACAGAGUAAAACUCCAUCUCAGCCGGGCGUGAUGGCUCAACGCCUGUAAUCUCAGCACUUUGGGAGGCCAAGGCAGGCGGAUCACCUGAGGUCGGGAGUUUGAGACCAGCCUGGCCAACAUGGAGAAACCCCGUCUCUAGUAAAAAAUACAAAAUUAGCCAGGCAUGGUGGCAGAUGCCUGUAAUCCCAGCUACGCUACUCAGGAGGCUGAGACAGGAGAUUUGCUUGAACUCAGGAGGCAGAGGUUGCAGUGAGCCGGGAUCGCGCCAUUGCACUCCAGACUGGGCAACAAGAGCGAAACUCCAUCUCAAAAAAAAAAGGUGGCCUGGCGCAGUGUCUCGCCUGUAAUCCCAGCACUUUGGGAGGCCAAGGCGUGUGUAUCACAAGGUCAAGAGAUCGAGACCAUCCUGGUCAACUUGGUGAAACCCCGUCUCUACUAAAAAUACAAAAAAUUAGCUGGGUAUGGUGGCACGUGCCUGUAAUCCCAGCUACUCAGGAGGCUGAGGCAGGAGAAUUGCCUGAACCCAGGAGGCAGAGGUUGCGGUGUGGAUCACAAGGUCAAGAGAUCGAGACCAUCCUGGUCAACAUGGUGAAACCCCGUCUCUACUAAAAAUACAAAAAAUUAGCUGGGCAUGGUGGCACGUGCCUGUAAUCCCAGCUACUCAGGAGGCUGAGGCAGGAGAAUUGCCUGAACCCAGGAGGCAGAGGUUGCGGUGAGCCGAGAUCGCGCCAUUGCACUCCAGCCUGGGUAACAAGAGCGAAACUCCAUCUCAAAAAAAAAAAAAAAAAAAAGAUUGCAUCUCAAAAUAUUUAUAUUUUUUGAAACCAAACAUUAAAGAUUUAUUGUAUGUAAAUUAGAUAUACAUGUAGAAACAAUAUUAUAAAUUUUUAAAGAGUGUGCAGAAUUUUCAGAUCUUAUAUAAUAGAUUUCACACUGGGGUCGUUUUUCUUCCCACUCACCCCACAUGGAUGAUACAGCCCCUGGUUUACCUUCUGUAAUCUUCCUGAAAUUGUGAGCACUCUGCCUAUUCCUGGAGUUUGAUCUCCCUUCUUAGUUGUUGAUGCAGUGCUGCAAACAUUUUAGUGUUUAGAGGCUUUCCCUUGGCAAGGGUGUCCCCACAUCUGACAGCUGUGAUAUAUCUGGAGAUUAAAUGAUAAGGAGGACAGUCUCAUUAAUAUAAAUAGACAGAUGACUGCUGUGGUAAAAAGUACUAUUGAGUAAAGAGUACAGAGCAAGCAAUUUGGGAACUCCCUAUUUCUUGAUCUCAGCAACCCUAUAGGAGAGCUCAUUGUGUUUUAUAAGAAUGGCUGAGGAAGUGGUAUUGAAUAACCUGUUAUUGAUUUCCUAGCCGCAUCAAUGUGAUCCUUUUUUCUGGUAUUUCUUUAUUUUUAUUUUUUGAGAUGGAAUCGCGCUCUGUCACCCUGGCUAGAAUGCAGUGGCACAAUUUCGGCUCACUGCAACCUCCACCUCCUGGGUUCAAGCAAUUCUUCUGCCUUAGCCUCCUGAGUAGCUGGGACUAUAGGUGCGAGGCACCAUGCCCAGCUAAUUUUUGUAUUUUUAGUAGAGACAGGGUUUCACCAUAUUGGUCAGGCUGGUUGUGAACUCCUGAUCUCAUGAUCUGCCCACCUCAGCCUCCCAAAGUGCUAGGAUUACAGGCGCUAGCCACUGCGCCCAGCCUUUUCUGUUAUUUCUUAAGGCAUACUUUUAAAAUGUAAAAUUGUCCCAAAACAUGCCAGGCACAGUGGCUCACACCUGUAUAGUUCCAGCACUUUGGGAGGCCUAGGCAGGAAGAUCACGAGGUCAGGAGAUCAAGACCAUCCUGGCGAACAUGGUGAAACCCUGUCUCUACUAAAAAUACAAAAAUUAGCUUGGCAUAGUGGUACAUUCCUGUAAUCCCAGCCACUUGGGAUGCUGAGGCAGAAGAAUCACUUGAACCCAGGAAGCGGAGGUUAUAGUGAGCCAAGAUCGCACCACUGCACUCCAGCCUGGCAACAGAGUGAGACUUAGUCUCAAAAAAAAAAAAGCUAUUAGCUAUUAGAGGUUCUCUAUUAUAAGUAUUAGAGGCUAAUCUAUUUAGUCAGAAAGGUAAACUUUGUGAAUUUGUAGUAACUCAUUUUCUCAUGGCCAAAAGUGGGAACAGUGGUUUAUCCAAGGAAUUAUACUUGAUUUUACAUUCUUUUUGUACUAUUGUUCUCUCUCAUUAAUGUAAUUAGAUUUGGGAUAUGUUCUGCUUACCAACAUUUAUUCUAUUGUUGGGAUCUGGUGCCAUAUCCAUGCCCCACUUCAUAGAAAUUGCUAAGUAAAAAAAUGACACUAGCUUUGCCACUUACUUCCUGUAACACUUUCUUAUAUUUGUUGACAGUCUGGUUUUAGCCUAAAAGUCAUCUCUUUUAGGAAGUUUUCCCUAACCAGUCACCCCAGAUUGGGCAGAUGCCUCUAGAUUAGAGUUCUGUCAUCAGUGAUUGAUCACACUUGAUUGUAAUUGUUGCACAACUGUUUCAUUCAAUAGACUGUCAGUUUGUGGAGGGCGGAGAUCUUGUGUCUAUUGUUCCUCUUUUAAUCCCCAGUGCCUGGCAUCUCAGAGACAUUUGUUGAAUGGAUUCAUGAACGACUGGCUGAAUAAUGAGCAAUUCAGGAAGAAAUGCUUUAUAUUCAUAGGUUAUUGGAUAAGACAGUAGCUCCCUUAAAACACACACUCCAUGGCAUGUCACAGAACUACAGUCUACAAUCAGUGCAAAGAGGUUCAGAAUCCAGUAAGAAGGAGAAAUAUUGUCCCUCUUCUGUUCUUGGAGAAGAUAUUGUACAAGUGUGGAAUUCCCCUGGUGAAAUACUCUAAAUCGGGAAGAAGACGGUGUGCAUAUUUGUGUUAUUUCCUGUACUGAGGUCAGUGGUGCUGAGAGCAGUGUAGUGCAAUGAUAUAGUGGUUUCGAACCAAGGCUUUGGCCAGGCACAGUGGCUCGUGCCUGUAAUCUCAGCACUUUGUGGGGCUGAGGCAGGUGGAUCAUGAAGUCAGGAGUGGGAUACCAGCCUGGCUAAGAUGGUAAAACCCUGUCUCUACUAAAAAUACAAAAAGUAGCUGGGCAUGUUGGUGAGUGCCUAUAAUCCCAGCUGCUCUGGAGGCUGAGGCAGAGAAUUGCUUGAACCCGGGAGGCAGAGGUUUCAGUGAACUGAAUGGCACUGCACUCCAGCCUGGGCCACAGAGCCAGACUCCGUCUCACAAAAAAAAAAAAAAAAAGAACCAAGGCUUUGAAGUCAGUGGGUUGUUAAAGCCCUACUCUGGGCGGGGUGUGGUGGCUCACACCUGUAAUCCAAGCACUUUGGAGGCCAAGGCGGGCAGAUCACCUGAGGUCAGGAGUUAAAGACCACCAGCCUGACCAACAUGGUGAAACCCUGUCUUAAAAAAAACAAAAAUAGGCCAGGCCUGGUGGCUCUCGCCUAUAAUCCCAGCACUUUGGGAGGCCAAGGCCUCAUGAGGUCAAGAGAUCGAGCCCAUCCUGGUCAACAUGGUGAAACCCUGUCUCUACUAAAAAUACAAAAAUUAGCUGGGCAUGGUGGUGCACGCCUGUAGUCCCAGCUACUCGGGAGGCUGAGGCAGGAGAAUGGCUUGAACCCAGGAGGUGGAGGUUGCGGUGAGCCGAGAUCACGCCAUUGCACUCCAGCCUGGGUAAUAAGAGCAAAACUCCGUCUCUAAAUAAAUAAAUAAAUAAAGCCCUAUUCUGCUACUUAUUAGCCCAUACUGUGAAGUUUGGACAAAUUACUUGACUUCUUGAAACUUGGUUUUCUCAUUUGUAAAAUGAAGAUAAUGUUAGCAUCUUCAUAGAUUGUGAGGUUAAAUAACAAGUGGUGUGUAUAAAGUUCCUGGCCUGAAGGAAAUGCUGGGUAAACACAUGAUGAUGAUGAUGAUGAUGAUGAUGAUUAUUAUUAUUUUUCUGAGAAAAGAGGGAUUAUAAAAGACUGGUCCAGCCAGGCUUGGUGGCUCACACCUGUAAUCCCAGCACUUUGGGAGGCUGAGGUGGGCAGAUCACCUGAGGUCAGGAGUUCGAGACCAGCCUGACCAACAUGGAGAAACCCUGUCUCUACUGAAAAUAUUAAAUUAGCCUGGCGGGCCGGGUGCGGUGGCUCACGCCUGUAAUCCCAGCACUUAGGGAGGCCGAGGUGGGUGGAUCACGAGGUCAAGAGAUCGAGACCAUCCUGGUCAACAUUGUGAAACCCCAUCUCUACUAAAAACACAAAAAAAUUAGCUGGGUAUGGUGGUGUGUGCCUGUAAUCCCAGCUACUCAGGAGGCUGAGGCAGGAGAACUGCCUGAACCCAGGAGGCGGAGGUUGUGGUGAGCCAAGAUCACGCCAUUGCACUCCAGCCUGGGUAACAAGAGCGAAACUCCGUCUCAAAAAAAUAAAUAUAAAAUAAAAUAAAAUUAGCCUGGCAUGGUGGCAUGUGCCUAUAAUUCCAGCUACUCAGGAGGCUGAGGCAGGAGAAUUGCUUGAACCCAGAAGGCGGAGCUUUUGGUGAGCACUCCAGCCUGGGCAUCAAGAGCAAAACUCUGUCUCAAAAAAUAAAAAAGACUGGUCUUAGCCAACCUUUUGCCCAUGAGGGAAAUCUACAAGCUCAGUCCUUAUGACGCUGGGGUUUUGGUUCCCAGAGGCCUCAACCACUCCUUUUCCUGUGAUCUUGUGGCUGGGAUGACAGUGCAUCAACAGAGGGUGGGUCACUUCCUGCAGGCUGAGCCCAUACUCCAUGUGGCAGCAAUCUUGGGGGCUUUCUGUCUGGAAAACAAACAGCCUGGCAGUUCAAUCCACAGACAGUUUCUCAACUUUCCUCUAUAUCUUGGAGAGAAGGUGAGAAAAACAAGAACACUUGAAUGAGAGGCUGUGCAUAUACAAGUUGUCUACAAAAUCUGUCAUUAUUUUUUGGUAUUAUUUGAAGGGAACGUUUAUUUUUUUUGAGAUGCUCUGUCACCCAGACUGGAAUGCAGUGGUGCAGUUAUAGUUCACUGCAACCUUGACCUCCUGGGCUCAAAGGAUCCUCCCGAUUCAGGAGUCUAAAGUGCUAAGAUUACAGGUGUGAGCCACCACACCCAGCCAUUAACUUUUUUUUUUGAGAUGGAGUUUCACUUUUGUUGCCCAGGCUGGAGUGCAAUGGCAUGAUCUCGGCUCAUUGCAGCCUUUACCUCCUGGGUUCAAGCCAUUCUCCUGCCUCAACCUCCUGAGCAGCUGUGAUUACAGGCAUGUGCCACCACGCCUGGCUAAUUUUGUAUUUUUAGUAGAGACAGGGUUUCUCCAUGUUGAUCAGAUCGGUCUUGAACUCUUAAACUCAGGUGAUCCACCUACCUCGGCCGCCUAAAGUACUGAGACUAUAGGCAUGAGCCACCGCACUUAGCCCAGCCAUUACAUUUAAAAUGAAACUUUGUUCGUUAUUAAACUUGCCUCUUAAAUACGGAUUUACCUAACUGUAAAAGUGGCUUGGCUGGUCUCGGUGGCUCAUACCUGAGCACUUUGGGAGGCUGAGGCAGGUGGAUCACGAAGUAAGGAUUUCAAGACCAGCCUGGCCAAGAUGGUGAAACUCAUCUCUACCAAAAAAACAAAAAUUAGCCAGUCGUGGUGGUGGGCACCUGUAAUCCCAGCUAUUUAGGAGGUUGAGGCAGGAGAAUCACUUGAACCUGGGAAGAGGAGGUUGCAGUGAGUUGAGAAUGCGCCACUGCACUCCAGCCUGGGCAACAAGAGCAAAACUCUGUCUCAAUAAAUAAAUGAACAAACGAAUGAAAAAACAAAACAAAAUUUAAGGCCAGGCAUGGAGGCUCAUGCAUGUAAUCCCAGCAUUUUGGAAGGCUGAGGCAGGUGGAUCACUUGAGGUCAGGAGUUCAAUGACCAGACUGGCCAAUAUGGUGAAACCCCAAUCUCUACUUUAAAAAAUACUUUUAAAAGGUAUUGUGGCUCAUGCCUGUAAUCCCAGCACUUUGGGAGGCCGAGGCAGAUGAAUCACCUGAGGUUGGGAGUUCGAGACCAGCCUGACCAACAUGGAGAAACCUGUCUCUACUAAAAAUAUAAAAUUAGACUGAUGUGGUGGCACAUGUCUGUAAUCCCAUCUACUCAGGAGGCUGAGGCAGGAGAAUCACUUGAACUGGGGAGACGGAGGUUGCAGUGAGUUGAGAUUACACCAUUGCACUCCAGCCUGGGCAACAAGAGCAAAACUCUGUCUAAAAAAAAGAAAGAGAGAGAGAGAGAGAGAGAGAGAGAGAGAGAGAGAGAGAGAGAGAGAGAGAGAGAAAGAGAGAGAGAGAGAAAGAAAGAAAAAGAAAGAAAGAAAGAAAGAAAGAAAGAAAGAAAGAAAAAGCAAGCAAGCAAGCAAACUGCAGUAAAGUGUAUUUGAUAGAAUGAUACCCUUCCUUCAUGUGAGUUAAAAAAAAGUCUUGGUGCUGCUGGGAGUUGCUUGGAGGUUGGCGGCGCGGGACUGGAGGCUAGCAGAUGGAGUGAUCAUGUCGCACAAACAAAUUUACUAAUCGGCCAAAUACGACGACAAGGAGUUUGAGUAUCGGCAUGUCAUGCUGCCCAAAGACAUAGCCAAGCUGGUCCCUAAAACCCAUUUGAUGUCUGUUGGUGUUCAACAGAGUCAGGGUUGGGUCCAUGAGCCAGAACCUCACAUCUUACUGUUCCGGCGCCCACUACUCAAGAAGCCAAAGAAAUGAAGCUGGCAAGCCACUUUUCAGCCUCAAGCUUUACACAGCGGUUCUUACUUCCUAACAUCUUUCUGAUGACAUUAUUGUGUUGCCUUCUUGUUUCUCACUUUGAUAUUUAAAAGAUUCAGGGCUGGGCGUGGUGGCUCACGCCUAUAAUCCCAGCACUUUGGGAGGCCGAGGCGGGUGGAUCACGAGGUCAAGAGAUCGAGACCAUCCUGGUCAACAAGGUGAAACCCCGUCUCUACUAAACAUACAAAAAUUAGCUGGGUAUGGUGGUGGGCGCCUGUAGUCCCAGCUACUCGGGAGGUUGAGGCAGGAGAAUUGCGUGAACCCAGAAGGUGGAGGUUGCGGUGAGCCGAGAUGGUGCCAUUGCACUCCAGUCUGGGUAACAACAGCAAAACUCUGUCUCAAAAAAAAAAGAUUCAAUACACUGUUUGAAUGUGCUGGUAACUGCUUUACUUCCUGAGUAGAACCAUUACCACCAUAGCCCAGCCUGAUGAGUGCUCUGUGGACCCACAGCCUCAGCUGAGUGUGACCCCAGAAGCCACAGUGUGCUGUGUAUCCAGAACACAUUUGGUAGAUGGAAGCAUCUGAGAUUAAGGGAUCAUAUAAACUUGUCUUUGUUUUCUUCUGCCGGGUGUUGUAUGUAUGGUGACUUGUGGAUUUAUGUUUCAGUGUACUGGAAACUUUCCAUUUUAUUCAAGAAAUCUGUUCAUGUUAUAAACCUUGAUUAAAGAGGAAGUUUUUAUAAUCUAAAAAAAAUCUCGAUGUAUACGUAUGUAAAAAAUUCAUGGAGUUGCACACUUAACAUGUGCACUAUUUAUUGUAAGUUAUACUUCAAUAAAAGUUUUAUUUAUUUA